rnacentral:rRNA from 1 species
UAAGACGAAGGUGGCGAGCGUUACUCGGAAUUACUAGGCGUAAAGCGUGGGUAGGCGGUCCGGCAAGUCUGUUGUGAAAGCUCCCGGCUCAACUGGGAGAGGCCAAUGGAUACUACCGGACUUGAAUGUGGGAGAGGUCACUGGAAUUCCCGGUGUAGCGGUGAAAUGCGUAGAGAUCGGGAGGAACACCGAUGGCGAAAGCAGGUGACUGGACCACUAUUGACGCUGAGCCACGAAAGCUAGGGGAGCAAACAGGAUUAGAUACCCUGGUAGUCCUAGCCGUAAACUAUGUUCACCAGAUGUGGGAGGUAUCGACCCCUUCCGCGUCGACGCUAACGCAUUAAGUGAACCGCCUGGGGAGUACGGCCGCAAGGUUG